rnacentral:lncRNA from 1 species
UCGUGGCAGCCUUUUCCCGGGGUUCACGUGGAUGCAUGGGGUUGCCCGGUGUUGCUACCUCCACAAGCUUCUUGUUUUCCUUACACUCAAGCAAGUAUCAGUGAUUUGAAUAACUUUGUUUCUGUGCUAUUUUUGUAUGUUAAUAAUAGCCAUGCUUUCAUAAUUUACCAUUGCUAGUUAUUGAAUAAUUUACCAUAGUGAUGCUAAUUAGAUAGUUUCACUAACCUGCAGGACAUGGUUGGAUUGCAAAAUGCCAAAGCAGUGGAUUAUAGAUUUGACAUGCCACAAAAGUCUUUUGAGCAUCAUCCGGCAGAAGAGGUUGUCGACAAGGUUGUGAAGGAGGCAAUGAGCAAACCAUGGCUGCCCUUGCCUAUAGGCCUCAAACCUCCUUCGGCCGAUAGCGUGUUGUCUGAGUUCUCAAAGCAAGGCAUAUCCAGCGCACCCCUCUUGGCAGCAAGUGUUCUAAACCCCACUGAUGUGCACCAGAGAUGACUAGCCUACUCAACAUUGGUUCUAAAGAGAUUCUUCAGUGUUCCUUGUGCAAUAAAAGUGUGUAAUAUUCAACAUAUGUGCCACCCUAGCUACUAUAGCUUUAAGAUAUUGAGUAAAGAUUCAAUAUCUUGCAUCACCAACAAUCACCAACCCACCACCCAAGUUGUUGAGUGUUACAUCAUAUGCAAUGCAAUACAAUACAAUGAUGCAAUACAAAGUAACAUGACUCUCUAUCAAUCAUUACCACUUAGAAAAAAACUCAAAAAGGUUCAUUUGCUUUUACCUUUAAUUGAACACAUGAAUUUUUCUACUGUGUGCCACCCUCAGGAUUAUGUGGGAACUCUGUUAAAUAUCGUGUUCAUUGUUUUCUUUUGUUUUUUUAUUGAUAUCUCAAUAAUAUAUGCAUGAAUGUGAGACUAUUCAUUCAUCCCCAAUGAUGAUCAGGUAAAAUUCUUCACUCAAUUAUGAUUUCAGGAUUUUAACCUCAUUUUUCACUGUUCAAAUUCUUUUGCG